rnacentral:rRNA from 1 species
GAUGAACGCUGGCGGCGUGCCUAAUACAUGCAAGUCGAGCGAACAGACGAGGAGCUUGCUCCUCAGACGUUAGCGGCGGAGUGGCGAGUAGCACGUUGAUAACCUACCUAUAUGCCUGGGAUAACUUCGGGAAACCUGAGCUAGUACCGUAUUAUAUAUUGAUCCUCAUGGUUCCAUAGUGAAAGACGGUUUUGCUGUCACUUAUCGCUGCCACCCGGCCGAAUUUUCUAUUUGGUAAGGUAACGGCUUACCAAGGCAACGAUCCGUAGCCGACCUGAGAGGGUGACCGGCCACACUGGAACUGGAACACGGUCCAGACUCCUACGGGGGGCAGCAGUAGGGAAUCUUCCGCAAUGGGCGAAAGCCUGACGGGGAAACGCCGGGUGGGUGAUGAGGGUCUCCGGUUGGUAAAACCCGGUUAAUAGGGAGAAACAAAUGUGUAAGUAAAUAUGCACGUCGUGACGGUACCUAAUCAGAAAGCCACGGCUAACUACGUG